rnacentral:antisense_RNA from 3 species
CUUGAUGGUGGUUGUGCGCAGGGCGCCUUCGGGCGCGCCGGCUUUGCUAGCUUCCCCGGUCUGCUAACCUGCGUACAGCUGCCUCCCUC